rnacentral:rRNA from 1 species
AAUCAACGCUGGCGGCGUGCCUCAGACAUGCAAGUCGAACGCGAAAGUCCCCCUUCGGGGGGACAAGUAGAGUGGCGCACGGGUGAGUAACACGUAGGUAAUCUACCUUCGGAUGGGGAAUAACAACCGGAAACGGUUGCUAAUACCGCAUAAUGCAGCGGCACCUAAUGGUGACAGUUGUUAAAGCGGGGGAUCGAAAGACCUCGCGUCUGAAGAGGAGCCUGCGGCGGAUUAGCAGUUGGUAAGGUAAUGGCUUACCAAGGCGACGAUCCGUAGCCGGCCUGAGAGGGCGGUCGGCCACACUGACACUGGCAUACGGGUCAGACUCCGUACGGGAGGCAGCAGUCGGGAAUUUUGGGCAAUGGGCGAAAGCCUGACCCAGCAACGCCGC